GCAGCAGUGGUGGAAUCGGUAGACACGCCAGCUUGAGGGGCUGGUGGCCGCAAGGCUGUGGAGGUUCAAGUCCUCUCUGCUGCA
rnacentral:tRNA from 1 species